GCCCUGAGUACCUGCCAGCUGCACACGGGCUUCCCAGCAGGCACAGCCCAGUAUUUUCAUCCCCACCUCGGGCCUUCAGCUAGCCCGUGUGCCCAUCCUGGAGGGCUCCUGUCUGCUCAAGUCCUGCUCCUGCUCCAGUUCAAGUUCCAACUCCUUCUGGCCGUUCCCCUAAGACCACGCCAACUCCCAGGGAGCCUCACCUCUGCCUGUGCCAGCUCCUAUGGUGAGCAGAAGACAGAACCUAUGAGGAUGGCCCCGCAGAGAUGCUCUCUUGGUCUUGAGGGCAACGCAGGAACACAGAGCGAGGGCUGGGGGACAGAGGGCCCUGCCCACAGCAGGCAUGCUAUCUGCACCCUCUGGAUCAGCUGGUUGGGCAGCACAAGGGCACAGAUGAAGCCCUCUGCACAGGGUUCUCUGGCUGAGUGGGAGAACACUCGAGCAGACGACUAGCUCUCAUCGAGGCUCUGCACUGCCAGCUAGGUGACAGCAGCAGCAUGUCACCUCUACUGACUGCAAACCACACCCUUCCCUAAAAGUCAGAAAGUGCAGAUGACCUCAGAAAUCCCUUCCACAAACUUUUAAGUGAUUAGAAAAAAAUAACAGCACAGUCUUUAUUUAUUUUUGUCUUUUUGAGACAGGGUCUUGCUAUGCAGUUCAGGUUGGCUUUGAGCUCGUUUUGUAGCAGCCCAGGCUGGUCUCAAACUCACAACGAUCCUUCUGCCUCAGCCUCCCAAGUGCUUGACAGUAUCAGCUCAACAGUACAAUCUUAGGGACACUCUGAGCCGGAAUCAUGGGCCAAGGAUUACUCAGUAUCGACAUUAUCCAAUGCCAGCCAGCAUGCAGCCAUGAACACCUGAAAUACGGGCAGUGGGAAGGAAGAACUAAUGUGCAGUUUUAUUUAUUUGAAUUAUGUACUUCGCAUUUAAAUUUAUGUAGCCACACUGGUGGCCGGUGGCUGCCACACUGCACUGUGUAAUUCUAAGUGAAUUUAUGAAAUACAAGGCCUGUGAGAACUUUCUCCAUACAGCAAGCAAAAAGGCAAAACUUUUCUCCCAGUUUGAAAAGGCUAAAGCCUCUGAAAGGGCAGAAGCUCUGAGAAGUCCCUGAAGAAGUCUGGUGAGCCAGGGCUCCUGUUCUUGAGUUCUCAGUCCAGAUUUACCAACAACCUUCAUGGGGAGCUGGGAGGCCUCCCAGCCACUGCAACCUUGACCUCUCUAGGUCCCACUGCCCGCAGCUUCAGUAGGUGACCCUUUAAACACUGGGAGGCUGGGCAGGGCUGAGGGCAGAGGAGGAAGGUUUAGGCAUCCCAUGGAUGGACCCAACAUUCAACCAGAGAGUCUGUGCAGCUUACCUGCUGCAUAUGAAGACUUUUAAAAGGUUGUGAUACACUGAUCUGGAAAAAUACACAAGGGUUAAAACUUGAGCUGUGAACAGUACUCUGACUCUACCUAUCUGAGCUCAGAUACAUUUUUAGAAGUGCAGAGCAUGCAUCCCUAGGGUUGGACGGGCACAGACAAUUUCUGGAAGGUACACAAGAAAAUCCACAGAGGUGAUGUCUAAAGACUGGGAUUUCUAAAGUGCAGGAGGACAGUAGGGUGACUUGUAUGUGCAUUAUUGGUUUUAGUUAUUAACUAGUUUUCUAUUAUAACUAUAAAAGUUAAACCUGAUCAUGUUACAAACUCUGUCUAGAAUAUUACGUGGCCAAUAAAUAUGUUUAUAGAGAGAUUAACAGAGGAAAAUGUUUUCAGUAUAAUGCAAUUGGGGAAAACAGGAUACAAAUUGUGUCUUUGCUACAAUCACAAGGUCAG
rnacentral:lncRNA from 1 species